ACGAACGCUGGCGGCGUGCCUAAUACAUGCAAGUAGCACGCUGAAGAGAGGAGCUUACUCUUCUUGGAUGAGUUGCGAACGGGUGAGUAGCGCGUAGGUAACCUGCCUUGUAGCGGGGGAUAACUAUUGGAAACGAUAGCUAAUACCGCAUAACAAUGGAUGACACAUGUCAUUUAUUUGAAAGGGGCAAUUGCUCCACUACAAGAUGGACCUGCGUUGUAUUAGCUAGUAGGUGAGGUAAUGGCUCACCUAGGCGACGAUACAUAGCCGACCUGAGAGGGGGAUCGGCCACACUGGGACGGAGACCAGGCCCAGACUCCUAAGGGAGGGAGCAGUAGGGAAGCUUCGGCAAUGGGGGCAACCCUGACCGAGCAACGCCGCGUGAGUGAAGAAGGUUUUCGGAUCGUAAAGCUCUGUUGUAAGUCAAGAACGGGUGUGAGAGUGGAAAGUUCACACUGUGACGGUAGCUUACCAGAAAGGGACGGCUAACUACGUG
rnacentral:rRNA from 1 species